rnacentral:lncRNA from 1 species
GUUUGCCCUCAACCCUAGGUACAUUUAUAUAGCUAUCUUAUACUUAGAUUUUUAUUACGCUAUGUAUCUGCUUCAUGUGUUUGAGAUGGGGUGAAGUAUGCAUGUACACCACAGCUCCUGCAUGCAUGUACACCACAGCUCUUGCAUGCAUGUACACCACAGCUCCUGCAUGCAUGUACACCACAGCUCCUGCAUGCAUGUACACCACAGCUCCUGCAUGCAUAUACACCACAGCUCCUGUAUGCAUGUACACCACAGCUCCUGUAUUGUCAGAAGACACUUUUGAGGGUUGGUCCUCCUGGGGAUUGAACUCAGAUCACCAGGAAAGAUGACAACUGUCUGUCUCUACACCUUUAACCAUCUUGCCACAGAUGGCUUUUAAUCUCUUAAAAAUUAAAUCAAUUGGGGUUGGGGAUCUAGCUCAGUGGUAGAAGGCCCUGGAUUCGGUCCCCAGCUCUGGGAAAAAGAAAAAAGAAAAAAGAAAAAAGAAAAAAAAAUUA